rfam:Triticum aestivum genome assembly, contig: Triticum_aestivum_CS42_TGACv1_scaffold_503218_6BL
GAUGUACUCCCUCCGUCUGAAAAAGCUUGUCCUUCAAAUGAAUAUAUCUAGUACCAAGUUAGUGCUAGAUACAUCCAUUUAAACCAUUUGAGGGAUAAGCUUUUUCUAACGGAGAAAGUACCAG